rnacentral:rRNA from 1 species
GAUGAACGCUGGCGGCGUGCUUAACACAUGCAAGUCGAACGCUGAAGCUCACAGCUUGCUGUGGGUGGAUGAGUGGCGAACGGGUGAGUAACACGUGAGUAACCUGCCCCCGAUUUCGGGAUAAGCCCGGGAAACUGGGUCUAAUACCGGAUAUGACCACCGGCCGCAUGGUUGGUGGUGGAAAGUUUUUCGAUCGGGGAUGGGCUCGCGGCCUAGCAGCUUGUUGGUGGGGUAAUGGCCUACCAGGGCGACGACGGGUAGCCGGCCUGAGUGGGCGACCGGCCACGCUGGGACUGAGACACGGCCCAGAGUACUACGGGAGGCAGCAGUGGGGAAUAUUGCACAAUGGGGGAAACCCUGAUGCAGCGACGCAGCGUGCGGGAUGACGGCCUUCGGGUUGUAAACCGCUUUCAGCAGGGAAGAAGCGAGAGUGACGGUACCUGCAGAAGAAGUACCGGCUAACUACGUGCCAGCAGCCGCGGUAA